rnacentral:rRNA from 1 species
UGAGGAAUUUUCGGCAAUGGGGGCAACCCUGACCGAGCAACGCCGCGUGCAGGACGAAGGUCUUCGGAUCGUAAACUGCUUUUCUCUGGGAAGAGAAUGGACGGUACCAGAGGAAGAAGCCCCGGCUAACUACGUGCCAGCAGCCGCGGUAAUACGUAGGGGGCGAGCGUUGUCCGGAGUUACUGGGCGUAAAGGGCACGCAGGCGGUCGUGUCAGUUUGGGGUUACAGCUCCCGGCUCAACUGGGAGAGCGCCUCGAAGACGGCAUGACUUGAGAGCCAGAGAGGGACACAGAAUUCCGGGUGUAGUGGUGAAAUGCGUAGAUAUCCGGAGGAAUACCAAAGGCGAAGGCAGUGUCCUGGCUGGUAUCUGACGCUGAGGUGCGAAAGCUAGGGGAGCGAAC